GACGAAGGAUGCAAGCGUUAUCCGGAUUCAUUGGGUUUAAAGGGAGCGUAGGCGGCCUUGUAAGUCAGUGGUGAAAUCUCGCAGCUUAACUGCGAAACUGCCAUUGAUACUGCUUGGCUAGAGUAUAGAUGCUGUGGGCGGAAUAUGACAUGUAGUGGUGAAAUGCGUAGAUAUCGUUUGGAACGCCAAUGGUGAAAACAGGUCGCUGGGGAUGAGCUGACGCUGAGACACGAAAGCCAGGGGAGCAAACGGG
rnacentral:rRNA from 1 species